UUGUGUUGGGCACGAGAAAGCCAAAACCCAUUUUUGAGGAGUACCGACUUGGCGAUUAGACAUUAGAGAGCUGUCGACGUAGGAAGACCAGAGACGCGAACCUUUGUUUAGCUUUUUUAAUGGCGUACUCUGAUUGAUAUUCUAAUUCUGAUUUUGGUUUUGAGAGGAAUAGGCAUCUUCUUCACCAUGGCUCCGAGGAAGUUGAUUCUUCACCGUUUGACGGCGCACUUUGGCGGUCGAAUCAGGCAGAACCAGAGGCUUCUCAGCUCUCAUUUUUAUUCCUUUACGGCGUUGUAAGAAGCCCCUUCCUCUUCUUCUUCUUCCUCCUCGCCGAACUUGGACGGCGUUUACAUGACGGACACUUGUGUUCAGUGGGCGGUAAAGGAUCGGAAAGGGUAUACCCAACAACAACUUGACGAGGUCCGCAUUGAAGUAGCCGACUACUUACAGACUCUGCUGUAGGUUCUGACCAGUUUCUUGAUUUUGAGUUAGGCUAGCUUUUAAUUAACUUUUUUGUAGCAAUUAUGAACAAACAAGAAUACUAAUUGCUAGGCUAGCCUUGUAGUAUAUAGGUGCAUGAAUUGGGGUUUUAUUUUGCCCAUUUUGUAAACUGUUAAGGAUGAUGAAUGUCGGAUAUAAUACCCCAAUUUGCAAUUUAUAAUCACAGUUCUAUUUU